rnacentral:rRNA from 1 species
AACCUCGACCCAAGAGAGUCGGGAAUAACCACCGUAGGAAACAGAUGACUAAUACCGGAUAACAACAGAUGAUGCCUAUCAACUGUUUAAAAGAUGGUUCUGCUAUCACUCUUGGAUGGACCUGCGGUGCAUUAGCUAGUUGGUAGGGUAACGGCCUACCAAGGCGAUGAUGCAUAGCCGAGUUGAGAGACUGAUCGGCCACAUUGGGACUGAGACACGGCCCAAACUCCUACGGGAGGCAGCAGCC